UCCCUGAGGCAGGCCCCACAGACACCCGCGGACCCCGAAAUCGUCUACACGUGUCCAGUGAGACCUGGGUCAGGCAGCCUGCUCGGGCUCCUCCGAGGGGCCCUCCUGCAUGCCCCCCCGCCCCCCCCCCCCCACGGUCCCCGCAUCCUCCCGGCACCCCACACGUUAUCUCUGUUCUGCUGAUAAGGGAGAAGAGGCACCGGCCCUCAGGCUUGGCUUGGGUACCCAGCUCGCCGGGCGGUACUCACCACAAAACAAAGGAAGAGGCAGGUCCUUAAAGAAAGUUUUCCAUGGUCUUUAUGCUGUUUUCUGGAACUGUGAUCCAUCCGCAAAACACCCUGUUCCGUCCAUCGCAGGCUUUGCUGAACCCCCAUCUUCCCCAACAUCUUCGACGCUUUUCGCCUGGGCUCCCCAAAUCUGGGCGAACGGUCCUCUCCGUUGCCUCGAGUAGGAGAAGGAGAAGGCUCCUUUCCUCGCCUGCGUCCUGAAGUCUGGCCCUACAUCACCAGAGCCCUCAGUGGUUCCACGAACAUGAGCUUUUCAUCCACAA